AACACAUGGUGAGCGCACCUUCUCAAUAAGUUCUUGUAUCUCUCCCAUGCAUCAUAAAGAGUUUCUAGAUCCAUCUACACAAAAGAAUAGAUAUCAUUCCUCAAUUU
rfam:Gossypium hirsutum cultivar TM-1 chromosome 8, whole genome shotgun sequence